UACAGAGGGUGCGAACGUUGCUCGGAAUUACUGGGCGUAAAGCGCAUGUAGGCGGAUCCAUAAGUCGGGCGUGAAAUCCCCAGGCUCAACCUGGGAACUGCGCUCGAAACUGUGGGUCUUGAGUGUCGGAGAGGAUGGCGGAAUUCCUGGUGUAGAGGUGAAAUUCGUAGAUAUCUGGAGGAACACCGGUGGCGAAGGCGGCAUCCUGGACCACGACUGACGCUGAGGAGCGAAAGCGUGGGGAGCAAACAGG
rnacentral:rRNA from 1 species